rnacentral:rRNA from 1 species
UACGUAGGGCGCAAGCGUUGUCCGGAAUUAUUGGGCGUAAAGAGCUCGUAGGCGGUCUGUCGCGUCUGUUGCGAAAACUCGAGGCUCAACCUCGGGCUUGCAGUGGAUACGGGCAGACUAGAGUGCGGUAGGGGAGACUGGAAUUCCUGGUGUAGCGGUGGAAUGCGCAGAUAUCAGGAGGAACACCGCUGGCGAAGGCAGGUCUCUGGGCCGCAACUGACGCUGAGGAGCGAAAGCAUGGGGAGCGAACAGG